rnacentral:rRNA from 1 species
CAAUAGCGUACAUUAAAGUUGUUGCAGUUAAAAAGCUCGUAGUUGGAUUUGUGGCGUACGGUGUGUUCCGGGCACUUGUUGUCUGAGUAACCUGCUGUUGCCAUCCUUGGGUGGAACCUGUGUGGCAUUAGGUUGUCGUGCAGGGGAUGCCCAUCAUUUACUGUGAAAAAAUUAGAGUGUUCAAAGCAGGCUUAUGCCGUUGAAUAUAUUAGCAUGGAAUAAUGAGAUAGGACUUUUUUGCUAUUUUGUUGGUUUGCGCAAAGAGGUAAUGAUUAAUAGGGACAGUUGGGGGUAUUCGUAUUCCAUUGUCAGAGGUGAAAUUCUUGGAUUUUUGGAAGACGAACUACUGCGAAAGCAUUUACCAAGGAUGUUUUCAUUAA